rnacentral:tRNA from 2 species
UCCGGGGUAGCUCAAUCGGCAGAGCAGUUCACUGUUAAUGAAUUGGUUGGGGGUUCAAGUCCCUCCCCCGGAG